UACGUAGGGGGCAAGCGUUGUCCGGAAUCAUUGGGCGUAAAGCGCGUGUAGGCGGCUCGGUAAGUCCGCUCUGAAAGCCCGGGGCUCAACCCCGGGAGGCGGGUGGAUACUGCUGAGCUCGAGUCCGGAAGAGGAGUGUGGAAUUCCUGGUGUAGCGGUGAAAUGCGCAGAUAUCAGGAGGAACACCAGAGGCGAAAGCGGCGACCUGGACAGGCACUGACACUCAACUACGAAAGCGUGGGGAGCAAACAGG
rnacentral:rRNA from 1 species